rnacentral:rRNA from 1 species
GAUGAACGCUGGCGGCGUGCCUAAUACAUGCAAGUCGAGCGAACGGACGAGAAGCUUGCUUCUCUGAUGUUAGCGGCGGACGGGUGAGUAACACGUGGAUAACCUACCUAUAAGACUGGGAUAACUUCGGGAAACCGGAGCUAAUACCGGAUAAUAUUUUGAACCGCAUGGUUCAAAAGUGAAAGACGGUCUUGCUGUCACUUAUAGAUGGAUCCGCGCUGCAUUAGCUAGUUGGUAAGGUAACGGCUUACCAAGGCAACGAUGCAUAGCCGACCUGAGAGGGUGAUCGGCCACACUGGAACUGAGACACGGUCCAGACUCCUACGGGAGGCAGCAGUAGGGAAUCUUCCGCAAUGGGCGAAAGCCUGACGGAGCAAUGCCGCGUGAGUGAUGAAGGUCUUCGGAUCGUAAAACUCUGUUAUUAGGGAAGAACAUAUGUGUAAGUAACUGUGCACAUCUUGACGGUACCUAAUCAGAAAGCCACGGCUAACUACGUGCCAGCAGCCGCGGUAAUACGUAGGUGGCAAGCGUUAUCCGGAAUUAUUGGGCGUAAAGCGCGCGUAGGCGGUUUUUUAAGUCUGAUGUGAAAGCCCACGGCUCAACCGUGGAGGGUCAUUGGAAACUGGAAAACUUGAGUGCAGAAGAGGAAAGUGGAAUUCCAUGUGUAGCGGUGAAAUGCGCAGAGAUAUGGAGGAACACCAGUGGCGAAGGCGACUUUCUGGUCUGUAACUGACGCUGAUGUGCGAAAGCGUGGGGAUCAAACAGGAUUAGAUACCCUGGUAGUCCACGCCGUAAACGAUGAGUGCUAAGUGUUAGGGGGUUUCCGCCCCUCAGUGCUGCAGCUAACGCAUUAAGCACUCCGCCUGGGGAGUACGACCGCAAGGUUGAAACUCAAAGGAAUUGACGGGGACCCGCACAAGCGGUGGAGCAUGUGGUUUAAUUCGAAGCAACGCGAAGAACCUUACCAAAUCUUGACAUCCUUUGACAACUCUAGAGAUAGAGCCUUCCCCUUCGGGGGACAAAGUGACAGGUGGUGCAUGGUUGUCGUCAGCUCGUGUCGUGAGAUGUUGGGUUAAGUCCCGCAACGAGCGCAACCCUUAAGCUUAGUUGCCAUCAUUAAGUUGGGCACUCUAAGUUGACUGCCGGUGACAAACCGGAGGAAGGUGGGGAUGACGUCAAAUCAUCAUGCCCCUUAUGAUUUGGGCUACACACGUGCUACAAUGGACAAUACAAAGGGCAGCGAAACCGCGAGGUCAAGCAAAUCCCAUAAAGUUGUUCUCAGUUCGGAUUGUAGUCUGCAACUCGACUACAUGAAGCUGGAAUCGCUAGUAAUCGUAGAUCAGCAUGCUACGGUGAAUACGUUCCCGGGUCU